GGGGGAGGUGGGAGGAUUGCCUGAGAACAGGAGUUUGAGACCAGCCUGGCCAACAUGUUGAAACCCUGUCUCUACCAAAAUUACAAAAAAAAUUAGCUGGGUGUGGUGGCGCAUGACUGUAAUCCCAGCUUCGUCGGGAGGCUGAGGCACAAGAAUCACUUGAACUCAGGAGGUGGUGGAGGUUGCAAUGAGCCGAGAUCAUGCCACUGCACUCCAGCCUGAAUGACAGAGUGAGACUCCACCUCAAAACAAACAGACAAAAUAAACAAACAAAAAACAGAUUCUGAGUUGACAGUUCUUUUUUCUUUCAGCACCUGGCUCCCACAGUUUCUGAUAAGAAAUUUGCUAUCUCUUUAAUAGUUUCCCCCCACAGAUAAGGUACACUUUUUCUCUGGAUGCUUUCAAGAAUUUUUG
rnacentral:lncRNA from 10 species